rnacentral:lncRNA from 1 species
AGUAAUUAAAACUAGAGAAUAUAUUUAGAUAUAUUAGCCAGUAUUUUGAUAAAGAUAGAUAUAUUAAUCAUAUACAAAGAAAAACCUGAGACAGUUGUGAAGCUGUUCUAUCUCCCUUAAAGUCUCCUUUCAAUAUGUUUGCCCAGUUUCCUUCACCGCAUUUUUGGACUGCAGCAAUGAGUUCAAAGUCUUCUGAUUCUGUCCAUGGUUUACGCUUUCGCCGAGGAGGCAAGUUGGUA